rnacentral:misc_RNA from 1 species
AAGGAGCACUUCUACCGAACUCUUCGGGGUGAGGUCAGAGGCCAGAUCAUCAGCGAAUGUCUGAUGCUGGUUCGCUCAGGGUGGAACGUUGAUUAUUCGGCCGGUUCACGGGCCGGAGGCUGUGAGUACUGCUCGUAAGAGUGUGGAAAGCAUGAUCUCUGGACGGGGACGGGUCGGGCACGCUGUUGGGUGUCUGAGGGUAUGGCCGUAUGGCUGCCUUCAGUGCCGGCCCCAGUGCUCUCGAACUUCUGGUUCGGGGUGAUGGGUGGUUGGUCGUUGUUUGAGAACUGCACAGUGGACGCGAGCAUCUGU